rnacentral:piRNA from 1 species
UCCCUUCAGUACAAUGGACCAAGG